rnacentral:rRNA from 1 species
CGAUAGCGUAUAUUAAAGUUGUUGCAGUUAAAAAGCUCGUAGUUGGAUUUCUGGUGGGAGCGAUCGGUCUGGCGCUUAGCGCGAGUACUUGCAUCGUCUCCGGCCAUCCUUGGGGAGAGUCUGUCUGGCAUUAGGUUGUCGGGCAGAGGAUCCUCAUCGUUUACUGUGAAAAAAUUAGAGUGUUCAAAGCAGGCUUAUGCCGUUGAAUAUAUUAGCAUGGAAUAAUAAGAUAGGACUUUGGUACUAUUUUGUUGGUUUGCGCACCAAAGUAAUGAUUAAUAGGGACAGUUGGGGGUAUUCGUAUUCCGUUGUCAGAGGUGAAAUUCUUGGAUUUACGGAAGACGAACUACUGCGAAAGCAUUUACCAAGGACGUUUUCAUUAA